rnacentral:rRNA from 1 species
AACGAACGCUGGCGGCAUGCCUAACACAUGCAAGUCGAACGAAGCCUUCGGGCUUAGUGGCGCACGGGUGCGUAACACGUGGGAAUCUGCCCUUCGGUUCGGAAUAACAGUUAGAAAUGACUGCUAAUACCGGAUGAUGACGUAAGUCCAAAGAUUUAUCGCCGAAGGAUGAGCCCGCGUAGGAUUAGGUAGUUGGUAGGGUAAUGGCCUACCAAGCCGACGAUCCUUAGCUGGUCUGAGAGGAUGAUCAGCCACACUGGGACUGAGACACGGCCCAGACUCCUACGGGAGGCAGCAGUGGGGAAUAUUGGACAAUGGGCGAAAGCCUGAUCCAGCAAUGCCGCGUGAGUGACGAAGGCCUUAGGGUUGUAAAGCUCUUUUACCAGGGAUGAUAAUGACAGUACCUGGAGAAUAAGCUCCGGCUAACUCCGUG